GGUUCUAUAGUGUAGUGGUUGUCACAUCUGCUUUACAUGUAAAAGGUCCUGGGUUUGAGCCCUACUGGAAUUA
rnacentral:tRNA from 1 species